rnacentral:rRNA from 1 species
AGUGAACGCUGGCGGUAGGCCUAACACAUGCAAGUCGAACGGCCGCACAGUAAGAGCUUGCCCUUACGGGUGGCGAGUGGCGGACGGGUGAGGCAUACAUCGGCAUCUACUUUUUCGUGGGGGAUAACGUAGGGCAACUUACGCUAAUACCGCAUACGACCUACGGGUUAAAGCAGGGGAUCUUCGGACCUUGCCCGAUUGAAUGAGCCGAUGUCGGAUUAGCUAGUUGGCAAGGUAACGGCCCACCAAGGCAACGAUGCGUAGCCGACCUGAGAGGAUGAUCGGCCACACUGGAACUGAGACACGGUCCAGACUCCUACGGGAGGCAGCAGUAGGGAAUCUUCGGCAAUGGGCGAAAGCCUGAUGGAGCAACGCCGCGUGAGUGAUGAAGGUCUUCGGAUCGUAAAACUCUGUUAUUAGGGAAGAACAUAUGUGUAAGUAACUGUGCACAUCUUGACGGUACCUAAUCAGAAAGCCACGGCUAACUACGUG